AACGAACGCUGGCGGCAUGCCUAAUACAUGCAAGUCGAACGAGAUCUUCGGAUCUAGUGGCGCACGGGUGCGUAACGCGUGGGAAUCUGCCCUUGGGUUCGGAAUAACGUCGGGAAACUGACGCUAAUACCGGAUGAUGACGAAAGUCCAAAGAUUUAUCGCCCAGGGAUGAGCCCGCGUAGGAUUAGCUAGUUGGUGAGGUAAAGGCUCACCAAGGCUACGAUCCUUAGCUGGUCUGAGAGGAUGAUCAGCCACACUGGGACUGAGACACGGCCCAGACUCCUACGGGAGGCAGCAGUAGGGAAUAUUGGACAAUGGGGGCAACCCUGAUCCAGCAAUGCCGCGUGAGUGAUGAAGGCCUUAGGGUUGUAAAGCUCUUUUACCCGAGAUGAUAAUGACAGUAUCGGGAGAAUAAGCUCCGGCUAACUCCGUGCCAGCAGCCGCGGUAAUACGGAGGGAGCUAGCGUUGUUCGGGAUUACUGGGCGUAAAGCGCACGUAGGCGGCGAUUUAAGUCAGAGGUGAAAGCCCGGGGCUCAACCCCGGAACUGCCUUUGAGACUGGAUUGCUUGAAUCCUGGAGAGGUGAGUGGAAUUCCGAGUGUAGAGGUGAAAUUCGUAGAUAUUCGGAAGAACACCAGUGGCGAAGGCGGCUCACUGGACAGGUAUUGACGCUGAGGUGCGAAAGCGUGGGGAGCAAACA
rnacentral:rRNA from 1 species